rnacentral:lncRNA from 1 species
ACUCCAGUGGUGGUGUAAUGGCACCACUAAAAUUUGAUGAGGAAAUUUUGAGCAAUGUUCAGACUAGGCCUUUUUCUAAAAAUGGGUAACCGCACAGGAUUUGCUGCUAGAGCAAGUAUUUUAAAGAAAGAACCCCCUUGUCAUCUGAGCCUAUAAUUGAUGAUGAAAAUAAUGACCUGAGUCAUCUGGGCAAGACGACUUCGUAAACAUGGUUAAUGAUAAAGGAGGGGAAGGGUGUGAGACCAUGAACCCUGAAGGUGAUAGCAACUUAGACAAUGGAGAAGAAAGAAUGAACUUGGAAUCAGAGAGUUUGUUCA